UACCGGAGGUACCUAGUGGCGAACGGGUGAGUAACACGUGAGCAACCAACCCCAAAGUCAGGGAUAACACCGGGAAACCGAUGCUAAUACCAGAUACCUUCUCGGACUCACCUGAGACCAAGAAGAAAGAUUUAUCGCUUUGGGACGGGCUCGCGGCCUAUCAGCUAGUUGGUGAGGUAGCGGCUCACCAAGGCGUCGACGGGUAGCUGGUCUGAGAGGACGAUCAGCCACACUGGGACUGAGACACGGCCCAGACUCCUACGGGAGGCAGCAGUGGGGAAUAUUGCGCAAUGGGCGAAAGCCUGACGCAGCAACGCCGCGUGGAGGAUGAAGGCUCUUGGGUUGUAAACUCCUUUCAGCAGGGAAGAAAUUGACGGUACCUGCAGAAGAAGCCCCGGCCAACUACGUGCCAGCAGCCGCGGUAAGACGUAGGGGGCAAGCGUUGUCCGGAUUUAUUGGGCGUAAAGAGCUCGUAGGCGGCUGAGCAAGUCAGAUGUGAAACCCUCGGGCUUAACCCGAGGCCGCCAUCUGAUACUGCUCUAGCUAGAGU
rnacentral:rRNA from 1 species